GAAGUUUGGAGCUGGAGCUGGAGCUGAUGCGGCAUCUUUUCCCCUUGCUGAGCGUGGAGCAAGGUCAUUCGGAGCCAGGCCCCCGGAGUUACCCUGUGCAUAGUUUGGAGCUCUUGCCUUGGACGGGCUGUCAGCCCAGCAGCACAGGAGGCAGACAGCACAACAUGGGGCACAAGAGUCUGCAUUCCCUACUUGAAACCUUCAGUGGCUUCUCAUUUCUUGGGGAAAAUCCACAUGCCUUACCAUGCUCUUCAAGGCUCUGGUUGCCUGGCCUCAGCUUAUCCCUCUCAUCUCAUCCUACCAGCUUGCUGGGCUCCUGUGGCCACGCCAGCUUCUUUCUGUUCCUCAAACUCCCAGACCCUGGGGUACCUGGGAGGCUCAGUGGUUGAGCAUCUGCCUUUGGCUCAGGUCAUGAUCCUGGCGUCCUGGGAUCGAGUCCUGCAUUGGGCUCCCCACAGGGGCUUGCUUCUGUCUCUGUGUCUCUCAUGAGUAAAUAAAUUAAUUAUUUACUCAUGAGAGACACAGAGAGAGACAGAGGGAGAAGCAGGCUCCAUGCUGGGAGCCCGACGCGGGACUCGAUCCUGGGACUCCGGGAUCAGGCCCUGGACUGAAGGCAGACGCCCAACUGCUGAGCCACCCAGGUAUCCCUAAAUAAAAUCUUAAAAACAAACAAACAAACAAACAAACAAACCCAAAGCCCAGACCAUUGCUGCACUAGGGGCUGUCAUCAAUUUGUGUGUUGGAUAGAUACCUUCAUGAGGAGAUGUAACUUGGGGAGCCUGGGCCUGCACAUAUGCUUCAAGCCACCCGCCUUGAAGUGUGUUGUAGGCUGUAGCCAGGCCUCUGCUUGGCCCCAGUGUGUGUGAGGCCCUGUGGCCCCUGUCGCCAAGGACUGAUUACUCUUCUGGGUAGUCAAAGAACACAAACAUGAAACACUGAACCACCCUGAAAGAGCCAGAGAGUGAACCAGAGGUCACUGGGCUCUUGGCAAUUAAAAGUCAACUAGAAACUAGAAAAAAGAAGCAUCAGACAUAAGCUGUAGGGUGAAGAUUGAGGGACAGCUAGGUGAUCAGGUCUCUAAACAAGACCACUGCUGGGGGGCUCACACUGUGUUUCAGAAGGAGCCAAGGAAGGGACCACCUGGAUUUAAACCCCAGUUCUGUCAUUUAACCAGCUGUGUGUCUUGAGCCCAAUGAUUCAGGCUCUCAGAGGCUAGGUUUUCCCAUCCAUAAAAUGGGGAUAAUGACAGCUGCUUCACAGGACAGAGGGGAGGUAGUAGAGAUAUGAGGCUGGCAUGUUUAGGAGAUGAUCAUCGUCUGAACAUAAUCCCCCGCCCUCUGCCCAUCCCCUUCCCUCCACCCCCCAAGCUGCUGCUGGAGAGAAGAGUGCCUGGCAGGGGGUGAGCCACCCUCAGAUCUGUGUUAGAGUCAGGUGGCCUGUAACUAAAAGUGGACUAGAGCACCUGGCUGGCCUAGUCAGAGGACCACGUGACUCUUGAUCUUGGGGUUGUGAAUUCAAGCCAUGUUGCAUGUGCAGUUACUUAAACUUUAAAAAAUAAAUACAUAAAAAAUAAAAGUGAACUUAUGUAACUAAAAUAAAUAUAACUCAGGUAACUGGCACCUGAUUCACUUCACCCUGGGCCCGGUUCUGCUUUAUAGAUUAAGGGGGCCGGGUGGGUCAGGAGGGGUCUCCCAGUGCAGGCCCAAAUGCAGCAUGUCUGGUAAAAAACAGGCAGAUCCCCGGACCUCCACCCAGACUUACCAAAUCAGACGCCUGGAGGUGGCUCCCAAAUCCAAAUUUCUUUAAACUACCCCAGUGUGCAGCCAGGUCUCACAACUAUCAGCUAGGUGCCCCCCACCCCGAGAAACAUUUUUAGCCCUUAGAGUCUGUUUCUAUCCCCACCAGAUGCCCUGUGCGUGUGUGUGUGGGGGGCAUGGAUCUCAUGUCAAGACAUCUAGGCCAGAGCUCAUCUGCUUUCGUCAGAGAGGGAGCUUCCCCUGAUGCUGCUCC
rnacentral:lncRNA from 1 species